rnacentral:rRNA from 1 species
GAUGAACGCUAGCUACAGGCUUAACACAUGCAAGUCGAGGGGCAGCAUUUUAGUUUGCUUGCGAACUAAAGAUGGCGACCGGCGCACGGGUGAGUAACACGUAUCCAACCUGCCGAUAACUCGGGGAUAGCCUUUCGAAAGAAAGAUUAAUAUCCGAUAGUAUAUUAAAACCGCAUGGUUUUACUAUUAAAGAAUUUCGGUUAUCGAUGGGGAUGCGUUCCAUUAGUUUGUUGGCGGGGUAACGGCCCACCAAGACAACGAUGGAUAGGGGUUCUGAGAGGAAGGUCCCCCACAUUGGAACUGAGACACGGUCCAAACUCCUACGGGAGGCAGCAGUGAGGAAUAUUGGUCAAUGGACGAGAGUCUGAACCAGCCAAGUAGCGUGAAGGAUGACUGCCCUAUGGGUUGUAAACUUCUUUUAUAUGGGAAUAAAGUAUUCCACGUGUGGAAUUUUGUAUGUACCAUAUGAAUAAGGAUCGGCUAACUCCGUGCCAGCAGCCGCGGUAAUACGGGGGACCCGAGCGUUAUCCGGAUUUAUUGGGUUUAAAGGGAGCGUAGGUGGAUUGUUAAGUCAGUUGUGAAAGUUUGCGGCUCAACCGUAAAAUUGCAGUUGAAACUGGCAGUCUUGAGUACAGUAGAGGUGGGCGGAAUUCGUGGUGUAGCGGUGAAAUGCUUAGAUAUCACGAAGAACUCCGAUUGCGAAGGCAGCUCACUAGACUGCAACUGACACUGAUGCUCGAAAGUGUGGGUAUCAAACAGGAUUAGAUACCCUGGUAGUCCACACAGUAAACGAUGAAUACUCGCUGUUUGCGAUAUACAGUAAGCGGCCAAGCGAAAGCAUUAAGUAUUCCACCUGGGGAGUACGCCGGCAACGGUGAAACUCAAAGGAAUUGACGGGGGCCCGCACAAGCGGAGGAACAUGUGGUUUAAUUCGAUGAUACGCGAGGAACCUUACCCGGGCUUAAAUUGCAUUUGAAUAAUCUGGAAACAGGUUAGCCGCAAGGCAAAUGUGAAGGUGCUGCAUGGUUGUCGUCAGCUCGUGCCGUGAGGUGUCGGCUUAAGUGCCAUAACGAGCGCAACCCUUAUCUUUAGUUACUAACAGGUCAUGCUGAGGACUCUAGAGAGACUGCCGUCGUAAGAUGUGAGGAAGGUGGGGAUGACGUCAAAUCAGCACGGCCCUUACGUCCGGGGCUACACACGUGUUACAAUGGGGGGUACAGAAGGCAGCUACCUGGCGACAGGAUGCUAAUCCCAAAAACCUCUCUCAGUUCGGAUCGAAGUCUGCAACCCGACUUCGUGAAGCUGGAUUCGCUAGUAAUCGCGCAUCAGCCAUGGCGCGGUGAAUACGUUCCCGGGCCUUGUACACACCGCCCGUCAAGCCAUGAAAGCCGGGGGUACCUGAAGUACGUAACCGCAAGGAGCGUCCUAGGGUAAAACUGGUAAUUGGGGCUAA